GAUCCGGUAGCGUAAUGGCAACGCGUUACAUUUCGGUUAUAAUUGUAGCAGUUCUGUGAAGAUUGCGGGUUCGACUCCCGUCCGGAUCU
rfam:Pseudomassariella vexata strain CBS 129021 BCR38scaffold_8, whole genome shotgun sequence.